rnacentral:tRNA from 1 species
CCGGAGAGAUAACGGUGGUUGGUUUACCUGUUUUGGAAACAGGAGGUCGUGGGUUCGAAUCCCACUCUUCGGAC